UAUGUAGGGUGCGAGCGUUAAUCGGAAUUACUGGGCGUAAAGCGUGCGCAGGCGGCUUUGCAAGACAGAUGUGAAAUCCCCGGGCUUAACCUGGGAACUGCAUUUGUGAUUGUAAGGUUAGAGUAUGGUAGAGGGGGGUGGAAUUCCGCGUGUAGCAGUGAAAUGCGUAGAUAUGCGGAGGAACACCGAUGGCGAAGGCAAUCCCCUGGACCUGUACUGACGCUCAUGCACGAAAGCGUGGGGAGCAAACAGG
rnacentral:rRNA from 1 species